CGGGUCUUGUCGGAGUGCCCGAACACCCCCAAAGGGGAGUGAGGGCUGAGAUCGCGAAAGCGGGAUCCGUGGAACCUGAACCGGUUAGUACCGGCGUAGGAAAACAAGCAACGCCCCUGA
rnacentral:ncRNA from 1 species